rnacentral:rRNA from 1 species
GAUGAACGCUGGCGGCGUGCCUAAUACAUGCAAGUCGAGCGAACAGACGAGGAGCUUGCUCCUCUGACGUUAGCGGCGGACGGGUGAGUAACACGUGGAUAACCUACCUAUAAGACUGGGAUAACUUCGGGAAGCCGGAGCCAAUACCGGAUAAUAUAUUGAACCGCAUGGUUCAAUAGUGAAAGACGGUUUUGCUGUCACUUAUAGAUGGAUCCGCGCCGCAUUAGCUAGUUGGUAAGGUAACGGCUUACCAAGGCAACGAUGCGUAGCCGACCUGAGAGGGUGAUCGGCCACACUGGAACUGAGACACGGUCCAGACUCCUACGGGAGGCAGCAGUAGGGAAUCUUCCGCAAUGGGCGAAAGCCUGACGGAGCAACGCCGCGUGAGUGAUGAAGGUCUUCGGAUCGUAAAACUCUGUUAUUAGGGAAGAACAAAUGUGUAAGUAACUAUGCACGUCUUGACGGUACCUAAUCAGAAAGCCACGGCUAACUACGUG